GGAGAAGAUGGACUGUAAGGACUUGAAGGUGUGAUUUUUGGACUUGUUGGUGAAUAUGCUUGUGAAGGGCUAUACCUUGCUGAAGGAUUGUAACUUGGUGAGGUUGGACUGUAAGUUGGUGAGGUGGGACUGUAUCCAGGCGAAGUUGGGCUGUAGGCAGGUGAGGUUGGGCUAUAUGAUGGCGAGGUUGGGCUGUACGAUGGAGAGGUUGGGCUAUAUGAAGGUGAGGUUGGGCUGUAAGAUGGAGAGGUUGGGCUGUAAGAGGGUGAGGUAGGGCUGUAAGAGGGUGAUGUGGGGCUGUAAGACGGAGACGUGGGGCUGUAAGCCGGAGAGGUUGGGCUAUACGCAGGUGAGGUUGGGCUGUAUGCUGGAGAAGUUGGGCUGUAGCUCGGAGAUGUAGGGCUGUAGCUCGGAGAUGUGGGGCUAUAGCUAGGAGAUGUUGGGCUGUAGGAAGGAGACGUUGGUGAAUAAGAUGGGCUUGUGGGAGAAUACGCAGGGCUUGUAGGACUAUAUCCAGGAGAACUAGGACUAUAUGUUGGGGACGUAGGGCUGUAACCAGGGGAAGUAGGACUGUACCCAG
rnacentral:lncRNA from 1 species